GUCUACUUAAGCAGUAAUUACAAAGGUCAUGACACAAAACAUAAAAUUGCAUUUGAGUAUAGCUGUAGAUACGUUAGGAAAUUUUUUCAAAUCUUAGCCAGAAGUUAGUCAUAUGCUGAUUGCAGUGUACACCCCUUAGAAAGUAUGUAUAAACAUACAUUCACUAUUAAUAAGUCAAUAUUUGGCAAUUCCUGUCACAGAAGAAAAGCAUAACUGGAAUCUAUUUCUGACCAGUAUAUGGGAAAAUACACGCUGAUACUGUAAUAUAUAUUUAUUAACUGAAGCAAACUUUUCAUACUUCUGAAAAGACACCUGACGUGGCAUUAAGAGAGCACAGUAGGACCUUACAACCUCUGCUUUCAUGUGCUGGCUCUUGCUGUCUCACAGCUUUUCCCAAGCUCUGUCCACACUGCGCAAACAGGUAACAAUACCAAACCAAUCCUGCAGGAAACAGAACUGUAGCGACACCAAAUGAGGUGGCAAAAAGAUGCUUCAGGAACAUCCAUCCUUCCAAACUGGUGCAGGAAAGCUGCCUUCAUCCUGACUCCUGUGCAUUGCCUGUGAGUUCUCUCCUUUAAACCACUUGAACCAAUCUCUACUGAUUGUGAAAUGCUUAGGAUCAUUGUCCAAACAGCACAAAGUAAAAGGAAACUGAAGUGUGUUUGACAUGGUCAUUCAGGCUGCCAGGUAAUGAGUUACUUCAGUUCUGGAAGAGUAAACAAACAACUGCAAGAAUAAAUUACAAUAUGGAGAUGAUCUAAAUCAUACAUUCCCUGACAAGUGGGCUGCAAACAAUCAAAAGAAAUUUCUUCCAUAGAAAUUGUUUCACCAUUCAGAGACCAUGUGGGAUGCUAAAAGGGAUUUGCAUUGUGCUGUUCUCCACCACACACAGAGAAGUCAUAUCACAUUUUUUAUAACCCUUUUAUUUAUGUGAAGCUUGCAAACGUUGCUGAUCAGAAGUUCUUUAUAUAUGGAAAACAGAUAAAGUGCCGACUGGAUAAAAAACAGAGUAACGACAGUAAGAACAUGUUUGUGACAAGCUCUAUUUUGUGGCUUUUUCUUAGAUUGACACCACCUGGGGUUGGAAAAAAUAUACAAGGAGAAAAAAGAUAAGCAUAAAGAUAGCAUAAGGAAAACCAGAGUUAGGUAGUUUUCGACUCCAUUUCUCCUUUCUACUUUCUUUUCUGACUUUCUUUUCUUUAAGCCACUAGGUUUGAU